rnacentral:rRNA from 1 species
AUGGGGAAUAUCCCAAUGAUGUCUCUUCUCAUUGAUCUUGCCAAUGGUCAGGGCAUUAACAAUGGUAAAGGGCUGCUGGAGACACAAAACAAGCUCAAAGAGACAGCCUUGCAUGAGGCCGUCCGCAUUGAGAACAAUGAUAUGGUCAACUUGCUCAUGACCCAUGCUCCAGAGUUGGCCACCAUUCCUGCUGAAGGUACUUCGCCAUUGUAUCUUGCCAUCUUAAUGGAAAAUAAAAUCGUCGCCAAAACACUCUACGAGUUGAGCAGUGGGGUUCUUUCAUACUCUGGACCGAAUGGACAAAAUGCGUUGCACAUUGCUGUUCAGCGGAGCCAAGAUCUCACGAAGAUGUUAUUAGAAUGGAACAAUGACCUUACACUACAAGGGGAUGCAAACGGAAGUAUACCUCUCCAAUUCGCCAUUGUAAGAUACAGCCAACCCAUAUGUUUAGAAUUAUUGAAAGUCAAUCCAGAUGCACUGUAUCAACCAGACUCCAAUGGAUCAUUUCCAACACACGUGGCUGCAUCCGUUGGUGCAACAUCGAUCAUCACUGAUUUUCUUAUGAAGUCACCCCAUUGCGCUGGCUUUCUUGAUGCUAGGGGAAGGACAUUUCUUCAUGUUGCUGUUGACAAAAUGAAAAUAGGGAUUGUCGACUAUGCUUGUCAAAACAUAUCGCUGUCAUGGAUUUUGAAUAUGCAAGACAAAGAUGGGAACACUAUACUGCACCUAGCUAUAAGAAAAGGAAGUCUGCAGAUGUUUGGUUCUCUGUUCAGGAAUAGACAAGUACACUUGAACUUGAUGAAUGAGAAAGGGAGAUAUAGCGUGUCAAAAUCUUCCUAA